rnacentral:rRNA from 1 species
GAAACCGUUCAGGGGUAAACCUGAGAAACCCAAAAGAUCGAACGAGGAGAUUCAUCGUCAACGGCGCUGGCUCCCGUUGGUGCGCGAUGCCCCGAACGGCCCUCUGUGGUUCGUUCCGUAGCGAGGGCACACCACCUGCGGCUUGAAUGUUCCGGUUCCGUAGUCGUGCACUUCUCCCCUAGUAGAACGUCGCGACCCGUUGUGUGUCGGUCUACGGCCCGAGAGGGCGCCUGUCGCGUCGCGAACGCGCGUACGCGGCAGACCCUCGGUCGCCCGGCCGGCUGCACGACGGUACUCGCACGGUAUCGGGCCGCAACCAAUCCAUUCUCGAAUGUGUGUGCGUCAGGCCCGCCGCAAGCUAGAUCAGUAUCCCGGAGGUACGGACCCGGUGCCGUCCCCGUCCCUGAUCAGCUGUUAGCAGGCGGUGUCCUCGGACUGGCCAAGCUUUGAAUUACCGGUCGGCGACGCUACUGCUUUGGGUACUCUCAGGACCCGUCUUGAAACACGGACCAAGGAGUCUAACAUGUGCGCGAGUCAUUGGGAUGCAUAAACCUAAAGGCGAAAUGAAAGUGAAAGUCGGCCUUCGCGUCGACCGAGGGAGGAUGGGCCGCGUUAUGAUGCGGCCCCGCACUCCCGGGGCGUCUCGUUCUCUCUCGUUCUUCUUCGCGCGAGAAGAGGCGCACCCAGAGCGUACACGUUGGGACCCGAAAGAUGGUGAACUAUGCCUGGUCAGGACGAAGUCAGGGGAAACCCUGAUGGAGGUCCGUAGCGAUUCUGACGUGCAAAUCGAUCGUCGGAACUGGGUAUAGGGGCGAAAGACUAAUCGAACCAUCUAGUAGCUGGUUCCCUCCGAAGUUUCCCUCAGGAUAGCUGGCACUCGCUCGAACGUUGUGCGAGUCUCAUCUGGUAAAGCGAAUGAUUAGAGGCCUUGGGGCCGAAACGACCUCAACCUAUUCUCAAACUUUAAAUGGGUGAGAUCUCUGGCUUGCUUGAAGCAUGAAGCCACGAGAUUUUGGAUCAGAGUGCCAAGUGGGCCAAUUUUGGUAAGCAGAACUGGCGCUGUGGGAUGAACCAAACGCAGAGUUAAGGCGCCUAAGUCGACGCUUAUGGGAUACCAUGAAAGGCGUUGGUUGCUUAAGACAGCAGGACGGUGGCCAUGGAAGUCGGAA